GCACUAAAAGAAUAUAAUUAGAUGUGAGGACAGAUGGGAGAAGUACGAUCACACCAAAGGAAACCUGAAGUCAUGGAAGGAAGGAGAAACCAUAGAAGUGUUGCAUUAUUGAAGAACAAUGCUGAAGAUAAAGCUGCAGAGCGAGUGAGAAGACAAAGCAGGUCACAGAGGAUCAGAAUGGACACUCAAAAUCAGGUGAGGGUCUUUUACAGAUACUCCUGAUCAGAUAAAUGUCGCAGUUUUAUAAAUCCAUUUGUGUACAUUUCAUUCAAUUGAGUGCUUUAUACCUGCUUAUGCAUGUAUUCUACACAAGAAUAAAUAUAAUGUCCAGGUCUCUAAAAAGAUUACAUAAUUCCACAAUGAUUUUACUGAUGUUAUUUCAUGAAGCAAACACUGAUGUGAUACCUGUCAGUCAGAGAUGAUCAAACAUUACAAUCCUCCAGAUCCCACAGGUAAAGUGUUGUGAAUGCGCACAUGAGAGGAGAACAUGGUAAAUAACCUGCAGUCAGGUGGAGUUACGCUGGUGUCAGUUUCCCUCAUGACAGGCUUCAGUACGUUUGACAUUGUUUACAGACUAAAUCCACUCGUGCUUUCCUUUUUCGAAGCAUUUUAUAAUUGCAGCAAUAAUACCCAUACUUGAGGCAAUGUGCAUUUAAAUCAAUGCUACAUCUCAUUUACACUUUGUUUGUUAGAGAAUUUUAGACAAGAGCAUGGAAACAGAUUUUGUGACAGAUGAGCAGAUGGAACGAACAGAACAGAGGUCAUGUUUAUUUCCACCACUGAGCUCUCAUUUAGUUCAGAAAAGAGAAGAACCAGCUUCAGUUUCACUGAAUGAUCAGCAAAGAAAAAAAGAAGAUCAAAGAUGUUUGUUAGAAGAGCUGGCCCGUAUAGAACAAGACCUGAAGGAAACCAUUCAAAGAGAGGAGAAGAGACAACAGGAACUGGACCAAGUAAGACGAGAAGAGAAUCGGAUCCACUGGAGAAGUCUGUUGUUUCUCAGCCUCAACCAGCGUACAGCGAAGCCCUGGGUGACAAGCUACUAUAAGAACAUACCAAUGCACAUCUAUUGCCUUCCAAUAGAGACUGUUGUCCGAAAUCAAAAUAACAAUAAGAAGAAUAAAAGAAGAUGAGGAAAUUAAGCUGUUCAGUUACAAUCUGAAAGAAAAUCAGAGCAUCCCGACCAUCAUGUAAUCAAACAGACGGUGAACACUUUUAACUGCAAUGAUUAUUUGUUGCGAUUAAACUUAUAGCAAAAAUUUGUAGUUUUGUAUGUUGUUUGAGGGUUGGCAUCAUCUGAGGUCCUCUGAGGGGCUGGCAUCAUCUCUUCUCAGGUUUUCAGUCAUCUCAGUUCUUCGUUAGGGUUGGGCCCAGACCCAGCCCACAUCUGGCACAUGUGGAAUGAUGAUCUGGCCCACAAGAUAAAAUACAUUAAAUCUCUGAAGAUCUCAGUAGAUGAGGAUUAAACAACUCAAUAAACAGCAUUACCAGCUUCACUUAUUACUAACCAAAGUGACUGUAUUUCUGGUAGAGGUCUACAGAAGUUAUUAACAGGGGUUUAAAUUUAACAUGUUUCAUUUGAAGUCACCAUAAUGUUGAUUAGUGUUUCCAUCAGUCGGUCUCCUAACUCUCAUUAGAAAUUAGUUUUGUCUUUGCUGGCUGUUAUGAUGGUGUGUUUUUCAAACACAUCUGCAGUAGCAAAUAAAGCCAAAAUGAGAUCAGAUGAUGAUGGUUAGCUAUUCAUUUUUUAUACAAUCAUAAUGAAAUAGCCCGAUCCACUAAUUUUGUUUGACUCUAACAAUUGUGUUGUGCUGAUAAUACAUUAGCUGGAUAAAACUGCAGCAUAAGAUCAGUAUAAUUGCAGAACCAUUAAAAGACAAAAAAAUGGCACAAAAAGUGGGGCUUCAAUAACACAGUCAUCAUAAAUCAACACAUUAACCUUUACAAUGAUAACAAUAAAAAGUGUAAUAUUGCAAUGCAUGCUGGGUACCAUAGUACAAAACUCCCAGAAUGCAUCACAGCAUGAAUAAAUUAUGCAGCUGAAUUCUCCUAUUAUUUUCUUUAAUUCUAUUAUUAUUAAAAAUAUUUUUUGAAUGAUUAUUUUACUUUCAUGUAAAGCACUUUGAAUUACCAUUGUGUACGAAAUGUGCCAUAUAAAUAAACUUGCCUUGUCUAAACAUUUGGUUCAUGCAUUUAUGUUGUUUUGAGAUAAGAGCCCAACUAAUUGAAACAACAAUCACCACAAUGGUGACUUCAAAUGAAACAAAUGUUAGAUUUAAACCUCUCAGUUCUCAAUAAGAACUUCUGUAGAUGUUUGACAGAAAGUCAAUCUGAUGAGUAAUAAUUUAAUCUGGUGAUGC
ensembl:lncRNA